rnacentral:rRNA from 1 species
GGGCCCGCACAAGCAGUGGAGUAUGUGGUUUAAUUCGAAGAUACGCGAAGAACCUUACCAGGGCUUGACAUCCUCGGAAUCUGUAUGAGAAUACGGAGUGCCUUCGGGAACCGAGUGACAGGUGGUGCAUGGUUGUCGUCAGCUCGUGUCGUGAGAUGUUGGGUUAAGUCCCGCAACGAGCGCAACCCUUAUCGUUAGUUGCUAACAUUUAGUUGAGCACUCUAGCGAGACUGCCGUCGAUAAAACGGAGGAAGGUGGGGACGACGUCAAAUCAUCAUGCCCCUUAUGUCCUGGGCUACACACGUACUACAAUGGCUGUUAACAAUGGGAAGCCAAACCGCGAGGUGGAGCAAAUCCCCAAAAAACAGUCCCAGUUCGGAUUGCAGGCUGAAACUCGCCUGCAUGAAGUUGGAAUUGCUAGUAAUCGCGAAUCAGAAUGUCG